UACGAAGGGUGCAAGCGUUACUCGGAAUUACUGGGCGUAAAGCGUGCGUAGGCGGUUUGUUAAGUCCGUUGUGAAAGCCCUGGGCUCAACCUGGGAAUUGCAGUGGAUACUGGCGAGCUAGAGUGCGGUAGAGGAUGGUGGAAUUCCCGGUGUAGCGGUGAAAUGCGCAGAUAUCGGGAGGAACACCGGUGGCGAAGGCGGUUCUCUGGGCCUGACCUGACGCUGAGGAGCGAAAGCGUGGGGAGCGAACAGG
rnacentral:rRNA from 1 species